GACGAACGCUGGCGGCGUGCCUAAUACAUGCAAGUUGAGCGCUGAAGGUUGGUACUUGUACCAACUGGAUGAGCAGCGAACGGGUGAGUAACGCGUGGGGAAUCUGCCUUUGAGCGGGGGACAACAUUUGGAAACGAAUGCUAAUACCGCAUAAAAACUUUAAACACAAGUUUUAAGUUUGAAAGAUGCAAUUGCAUCACUCAAAGAUGAUCCCGCGUUGUAUUAGCUAGUUGGUGAGGUAAAGGCUCACCAAGGCGAUGAUACAUAGCCGACCUGAGAGGGUGAUCGGCCACAUUGGGACUGGGACACGGCCCAAACUCCUACGGGAGGCAGCAGUAGGGAAUCUUCGGCAAUGGACGAAAGGCUGACCGAGCAAAGCCGCGCGAGUGAAGAAGGUUUUCGGAUCGUAAAACUCUGUUGGUAGGGAAGAACGUUGGUGAGAGUGGAAAGCUCAUCAAGUGACGGUAACUACCCAGAAAGGGACGGCUAACUACGUG
rnacentral:rRNA from 1 species